CGGGAUGUUCUCCUCUUAGUCCGCUCCGGAAACGCGACCGCGGUCGGAAAUAUCACGUGAUCUUAACGUCAACGCGCCCGCGCCGGCCGAACGGACGCCCUCGCUUUCCGCGGGCUGGCGUUUGUGCUUUAGGUGCUUUUUUUUUUUCCCCCACGGUGUUGUGGCGUUUGCGGUCUUUUUCUCCAGACUGUCGGGGCCUGCUUUGGGAUUUCGCGAUGUACCACAACAGUAGCCAGAAGCGGCACUGGACUUUCGCCAGUGAGGAGCAGCUGGCACGACUGCGGGCCGACGCCAACCGCAAGUUCAAAUGCAAAGCGGUGGCCAACGGGAAGGUUCUUCCAAAUGAUCCAGUCUUUCUUGAGCCUCAUGAAGAAAUGAUGCUUUGCAAAUACUAUGAGAAGAGAUUAUUAGAAUUCUGUUCGGUGUUUAAGCCAGCAAUGCCAAGGUCUGUUGUGGGUACAGCUUGUAUGUAUUUCAAGCGUUUUUAUCUUAAUAACUCAGUAAUGGAAUAUCACCCCCGGAUAAUAAUGCUCACUUGCGCAUUUUUGGCCUGCAAAGUAGAUGAAUUCAAUGUAUCUAGUCCACAGUUCGUUGGAAAUCUGCGGGAGAGUCCUCUUGGACAAGAAAAGGCACUUGAACAGAUUUUGGAAUAUGAACUACUUCUUAUUCAGCAACUUAAUUUCCACCUUAUUGUCCACAAUCCUUAUAGACCGUUUGAGGGCUUUCUCAUUGAUUUAAAGACUCGCUAUCCCAUGAUGGAGAAUCCAGAGAUGUUGAGGAAAACAGCUGAUGACUUUCUUAAUAGAAUUGCAUUGACGGAUGCUUACCUUUUAUACACACCUUCCCAAAUUGCCCUGACUGCCAUUUUGUCGAGUGCAUCUCGAGCAGGAAUUACUAUGGAAAGUUAUUUGUCAGAAAGUCUGAUGCUGAAAGAGAACAGAACUUGCUUGUCACAGUUACUAGAUAUAAUGAAAAGUAUGAGAAACUUGGUAAAAAAAUAUGAGCCACCCAGAUCUGAAGAAGUUGCUAUUCUGAAACAGAAGUUGGAGAGAUGUCACUCUGCUGAGCUUGCUCUUAACGUAAUUACGAAGAAGAGGAAAGGCUAUGAAGAUGAUGAUUAUGUCUCAAAGAAACCCAAACAUGAAGAGGUAUGCUCUCCAAAGGAAGAAUGGACUGAUGAUGACCUGGUAGAUUCUCUCUAACCAUUUGAAAUUGACUUUCCAAUGCUAACUAACCAACAGAAGGAUGAAGCAGAAAACUGGGUUGCAGGAAUUCUGAGAAACUCUGUAGCCCUGUAAAUCUGAGUUUGAUGGAUACACAGCUGUUCUCAGUGUCAGUGCAUCCCAGGCUGCACUUAGCAUUAGAACGUUUGAAGUUUUUGAUUUAGUUCCUUCUCAUUGUGGAAUGAGGAAUGAAAUUAAUGAAGUAUGAUUUUACAAACAUGGACUGGAAGAAGCCAAAGUUGACAAUCUUCCAGUGCAGUCCAGGUUAAGUAGCAAUGCUGCUAGCCUCUAGGCAGCAUUGCAGAGUGUUCAUAAUUUAUCUUGUUUCUCUUUUAAGUCCCUAAGCUUUGGUAUCAGAGCAAGGUCCACAUUUUUUUUUAAUAAUUUUUUAUUGUUAUGAGUCUCCUACCAGCCCCAUUAAAAAAAGUUUGAGUUUUUAUUUCAUGUUACUGCUAGGAGUACAAAGGUAAAUGACACAUUUCCUAUUCCAGCUUAAGAGAUAAAAAUGGCAUUAAAAUAUAAAAGGCAGAAGAGGAAAUUUCAGCCUGGGGAAUGGUGGAUGAUUGAUAGGUCAAUGUGGCUGAAGACUGAGGGGUUAUUAGUGGGGGAGGAUUAAGUUGCCUAGCACUAGAAUUUGGACCUCUUUGGAUAGUGUUGAAAUGUUUUUGGAGCUGUCACUGGUCCAUAUCCCUUCCGCUCUAGCCUUUAUCCCGUAACUCAAAUGGGCUACUGCCAUAGUAGUCCAGCUGUAAAGCAGGAGUGAGGGAAAAGUAAAGUAAUGGGAACUGACACCAAGGGAAAGUAGCACAGGAGAGCAGACUGGGUGUUGGUUUGGCUUUGAACAUCACUGUUCACCUGUCUCCACAGAAGUAACAGCCUCUAAGAGCUUAAAACUUUGCUAUGCAUCAAUCUUCUAAAUCCCUGAUUUUUUUUUUUACUGUAGAAAAUGCUUUUCUGCCAUGUACUUUUUUGCAUGCCUUCUCUCUCUGCAUAAUUAUGGGAGG